rnacentral:rRNA from 1 species
GAUCAUGGCUCAGGACGAACGCUGGCGGCGUGCUUAACACAUGCAAGUCGAACGAGGUGCUUGCACCUAGUGGCGAACGGGUGAGUAACACGUGAGCAACCUGCCCUUGGCUCUGGGAUAGCCUCCGGAAACGGGGAUUAAUACCGGACAUGACUACCGUCGGCAUCGGCGGUGGUGGAAAGUUUUUCGGCCAGGGAUGGGCUCGCGGCCUAUCAGCUUGUUGGGGGGUAACGGCCCACCAAGGCGACGACGGGUAGCCGGCCUGAGAGGGCGACCGGCCACACUGGGACUGAGACACGGCCCAGACUCCUACGGGAGGCAGCAGUGGGGAAUAUUGCGCAAUGGGGGGAAAAACCCCCUGACGCAGCGACGCCGCGUGCGGGAUGAAGGCCUUCGGGUUGUAAACCGCUUUCACCGGGGACGAAGCGAGAGUGACGGUACCCGGGGAAGAAGCGCCGGCUAACUACGUGCCAGCCGCCGC